rnacentral:rRNA from 1 species
UACGGGGGGAGCAAGCGUUGUUCGGAUUUACUGGGCGUAAAGGGCGCGUAGGCGGCGCAACAAGUCACUUGUGAAAUCUCCGGGCUUAACCCGGAGCGGCCAAGUGAUACUGUCGUGCUAGAGUGCGGAAGGGGCUACUGGAAUUCUCGGUGUAGCGGUGAAGUGCGUAGAUAUCGAGAGGAACACCUGCGGCGAAGGCGGGUAGCUGGGCCGACACUGACGCUGAUGCGCGAAAGCCAGGGGAGCGAACGGG